rnacentral:rRNA from 1 species
UACAGAGGUCUCAAGCGUUGUUCGGAUUUACUGGGCGUAAAGGGCGCGUAGGCGGCCACCGCAAGUCAAUUGUGAAAUCUCCGGGCUUAACCCGGAAAGGUCAGCUGAUACUGCGGGGCUAGAGUGCGGAAGGGGCAACUGGAAUUCUCGGUGUAGCGGUGAAAUGCGUAGAUAUCGAGAGGAACACCUGCGGCGAAGGCGGGUUGCUGGGCCGACACUGACGCUGAUGCGCGAAAGCCAGGGGAGCGAACGGG